GUGUCAGCAGCCGCGGUAAGACGAACCGUGCGAACGUUGUUCGGAAUCACUGGGCUUAAAGGGCGCGUAGGCGGGCUGUCCAGUCUGGGGUGAAAUCCCGCGGCUCAACCGUGGAACUGCCUCAGAUACUGACGGCCUCGAGGGAGAUAGGGGCAUGCGGAACUGUAGGUGGAGCGGUGAAAUGCGUUGAUAUCUACAGGAACUCCGGUGGCGAAGGCGGCGUGCUGGAUCUCUUCUGACGCUGAGGCGCGAAAGCUAGGGGAGCAAACGGGAUUAGAUACCCCUGUAGUCC
rnacentral:rRNA from 1 species